UACGUAGGGGGCAAGCGUUGUCCGGAUUUACUGGGCGUAAAGAGCGCGUAGGCGGAAAUUUAAGCGUGGCCUGAAAGCCCCCGGCUCAACCGGGGAGUGCGGCUGCGAACUGGAUUUCUUGAGGACGAUAGAGGAGAAUGGAAUUCCCGGUGUAGCGGUGAAAUGCGCAGAUAUCGGGAGGAACACCGGUGGCGAAGGCGGCUACCUGGACCGGUUCUGACGCUGAGACGCGAAGGCGUGGGGAGCGAACAGG
rnacentral:rRNA from 1 species